UACGUAGGGGGCAAGCGUUGUCCGGAAUCAUUGGGCGUAAAGAGCGUGUAGGCGGCCCGGUAAGUCCGCUGUGAAAGUCCAGGGCUCAACCCUGGGAUGCCGGUGGAUACUGUCGGGCUCGAGUCCGGAAGAGGAGUGUGGAAUUCCUGGUGUAGCGGUGAAAUGCGCAGAUAUCAGGAGGAACACCAAUGGCGAAAGCAGCACUCUGGGACGUGACUGACGCUGAGACGCGAAAGCGUGGGGAGCAAACAGG
rnacentral:rRNA from 1 species